rnacentral:rRNA from 1 species
AUGAACGCUGGCGGCGUGCCUAAUACAUGCCAGUCGAGCGAACGGACGAGAAGCUUGCUUCCCUGAUGUUAGCGGCGGACGGGUGAGUAACACGUGGAUAACCUACCUAUAAGACUGGGAUAACUUCGGGAAACCGUAGCUAAUACCGGAUAAUAUUUUGAACCGCAUGGUUCAAAAGUGAAAGACGGUCUUGCUGUCACUUAUAGAUGGAUCCGCGCUGCAUUAGCUAGUUGGUAAGGUAACGGCUUACCAAGGCAACGAUGCAUAGCCGACCUGAGAGGGUGAUCGGCCACACUGGAACUGAGACACGGUCCAGACUCCUACGGGAGGCAGCAGUAGGGAAUCUUCCGCAAUGGGCGAAAGCCUGACGGAGCAACGCCGCGUGAGUGAUGAAGGUCUUCGGAUCGUAAAACUCUGUUAUUAGGGAAGAACAUAUGUGUAAGUAACUGUGCACAUCUUGACGGUACCUAAUCAGAAAGCCACGGCUAACUACGUG